GAAUAGAUACCCUGGUAGUCCACGCCCUAAACGAUGCGAACUGGAUGUUGGGUACAUUACGGUACUCAGUGUCGAAGCUAACGCGUUAAGUUCGCCGCCUGGGGAGUACGGUCGCAAGACUGAAACUCAAAGGAAUUGACGGGGGCCCGCACAAGCGGUGGAGUAUGUGGUUUAAUUCGAUGCAACGCGAAGAACCUUACCUGGCCUUGACAUCUGUCGAAUCCUGCAGAGAUGCGGGAGUGCCGCAAGGAACGACAAGACAGGUGCUGCAUGGCUGUCGUCAGCUCGUGUCGUGAGAUGUUGGGUUAAGUCCCGCAACGAGCGCAACCCUUGUCCCUAGUUGCCAGCACGUAAUGGUGGGAACUCUAGGGAGACUGCCGGUGACAAACCGGAGGAAGGUGGGGAUGACGUCAAGUCCUCAUGGCCCUUACGGCCAGGGCUACACACGUACUACAAUGGUCGGUACAGAGGGUUGCGGAAGCCGCGAGGUGGAGCCAAUCCCGAAGAAAACCGAUCCCAGGUCCGGAUCGGAGUCUGCAACG
rnacentral:rRNA from 1 species